AUAUAAGGCAACAAGAAAAAAUACAUUAAAGGAAAUUAGUAACAAAUACAUUAAAAGGAAUAUGGUGGGAAAAAAAAUCGUUUUUCUUUUCCAUGGCGCCUGUGCUAAGUACUAAGGCUUCUCGAUGCUCGCCCGUGGAAAUCGUUUUAUAUUUCAUUUACAAUAAUGUUUGAUUUAGAUGUAUUCAAGGUCAGAUUUCGGAUUCUGUUAACGCACGAGCGACCUUAAACUUAAACUUACAAAAACGAAUCCGGAACGAAUCCAAAAAAGAGUUGAAACUCUCUUACAAACAUGCUAUGUGCUAUGCACCUGUAUUUCUUAACCUAUUAAGUUAGUAUAAAUAUAGCUUGUAAUUUAGAGAAUAUUCACUACUACACUUCGCUUCACUCUCUGUACUCUACUCUGCACUCGAUCUGAAAUAUAUCAAGUUGCGACGAAAGUCUCUUGCCUCCAUUCUGAGCUAGAAUCCUUCCUCGACAGUAUAAUGCGAUUGCGACCGAUCUUUUCGAUUCUUGAAUUGAAGCUUUGAAUUUGGAAUCGAGCGAUGUAUACUCUAUAAGUGUUCGUGAAUACCCGAACCUCCACCGAGGCUAUACGCGUAUUUAGGCUUUAUCGAAUAAAAAUAAGGAGGAGUUGAAUUAGAAACUCCCAUUUUUUUAACACCUGCAAAGUUAUGUCUAAAGUUGUGAUGUUAGUGUAAGACAGGGUUGACGAGUUUACAACUCAACUCGUGUUUCCGUUUAUUAUUCAGAAUUCACCGAUUAAGUAUCUUAGCUCCUGAAAUCAUGGCCGCCAUCUUGUUUUAUAUAUCGCGGAAGAGAAGAGACCAUCACGGCAGACCGCAUCGUCCAUAAUAAACAUAACGUAAGUGUGUUAUUUCAAUUUCUGAUUCUGAUAUUUUUCCUCCUCCCCCUCAAAAUCGAACACAUAGUUUUUUGACACUAUUUAACUUGUGGCAGACAGACAAAACAAGACAAGAAAGACACAUUUUAUUUCUUCUCGAUGAAAAAAAAAAAAAUAAAGACCGCGUUGA